rnacentral:rRNA from 1 species
UACGUAGGGUGCAAGCGUUAAUCGGAAUUACUGGGCGUAAAGCGUGCGCAGGCGGUUGUGCAAGACAGAUGUGAAAUCCCCGGGCUUAACCUGGGAACUGCAUUUGUGACUGCACAGCUAGAGUGCGGCAGAGGGGGAUGGAAUUCCGCGUGUAGCAGUGAAAUGCGUAGAUAUCAGGAGGAAUACCGAUGGCGAAGGCAGGUCUCUGGGCUGACACUGACGCUCGUGCACGAAAGCGUGGGGAGCAAACAGG